rnacentral:rRNA from 1 species
GGGCCCGCACAAGCGGCGGAGCAUGCGGAUUAAUUCGAUGCAACGCGAAGAACCUUACCUGGGUUUGACAUACACCGGAAGCCUCUAGAGAUAGGGGUCUCUUUGAUACUGGUGUACAGGUGGUGCAUGGCUGUCGUCAGCUCGUGUCGUGAGAUGUUGGGUUAAGUCCCGCAACGUGCGCAACCCUCGUUCCAUGUUGCCAGCACGUCCUUUGGGAUGGUGGGGACUCAUGGGAGACUGCCGGGGUCAACUCGGAGGAAGGUGGGGAUGACGUCAAGUCAUCAUGCCCCUUAUGUCCAGGGCUUCACACAUGCUACAAUGGCCUAUACAGAGGGCUGCGAUACCGUGAGGUGGAGCGAAUCCCAAAAAGCCGGUCUCAGUUCGGAUUGGGGUCUGCAACUCGACCCCAUGAAGUUGGAGUCGCUAGUAAUCGCAGA